AUGAAGGCCUCUGUUCAGCUCCUGGGGCUCCUGCUGCUCUGGCUCCCAGCAGAGAGCAUAGAAAGCUCCAAAUCUCCUGAUCUAUUUUGCACCUACUUGGCAAUCUGGGGUCCCAGGGGAAAUGGAAGUGGAUCUGGCACAGAGUUCACUCUCAGCAUCAGCAGCCUGCAGCCUGAAGAUUUUGCCACUUACUACUGUCAGCAGGGAUCAAGUGGAGAUGUUGUGAUGACCCUGACUCCACUCUCCCUGCCUGUCACCCUAGGAGAGCCGGCCUCCAUCUCUUGCAGGUCUACUCAGAACUUUCUAUACAGCAAUGGAAACACAUAUUUGAAAUGGUUCCUGCAGAAGCCAGGCCAGUCUCCACAACUCCUGAUCUAUGAGGUUUCCAACUGAGAAUCUGGGAUCUCAGAAAGAUUCAGUGGCAGUGGGUCAGGCACAGAUUGCACAUUGAAAUGUAGCAGUGUGGAAACUGAGG